rnacentral:rRNA from 1 species
UACGUAGGCAGCGAGCGUUGUUCGGAAUUACUGGGCGUAAAGCGCACGUAGGCGGCUUUGUAAGUUAGAGGUGAAAGCCCAGGGCUUAACCCUGGAAUUGCCUUUAAGACUGCAUCGCUAGAAUUGUGGAGAGGUAAGUGGAAUUCCGAGUGUAGAGGUGAAAUUCGUAGAUAUUCGGAAGAACACCAGUGGCGAAGGCGACUUACUGGACACAUAUUGACGCUGAGGUGCGAAAGCGUGGGGAGCAAACAGG